CUCGAAUUUUUCAAAAUAUAUCCAACCAGUACAGUAGACCUAAUGCUAGCAAAGAAUGGAACUGGAAUUGACACUGCUGCAGUCUACUUCUACUAGAUACUUACCAGAAUCUAAUAGCAUUAUAUUGCACCCAUCGGCAACCUGCAAAAUGAUAAAUCCAGUCGCCAACAAUAUGGCGAAUGCGAUUGACCUAAUAAGGGAAAUUUAAAUGAGCAUAGUGAUUGUCUCGAAUUCAAAUUUCUGAAACCUCUCACUUCACGAUUGAUGUAAAAGAUUUAAUACUUACCCAACAGGUUGCUUUUGGGAGCAAAGGUUGCAACACAUCAGUUUGCUGAGAGUUUCAAUCCGCAGUGCAGCUCCAAGACGAAAUAGGGCAAAUUAAGAAGCAACUGCAUAUGUUACACAAGACCAGAGAUUUCCCUACACUGCCUCAAAACUAUUGCCCUAUAUUUUGUGCUAGAAAAAACAUAAAGUUACGUACAACAAAAUUUUGACAAGGCAUAAUUCAUAGACACCUAGGAAUCAUUCGUAUUGUUAUCUUCUGGAAGCACUAAACGACCAUUUUCAAGUAGGAAGGGAGGAAAGGGGGCUCGACAGUUGUUGAUGUGUGAUUUCAGCCUGGGUAUAGUAGGGUGUGCACUUCUACAUCGGUGGCAACGCAACUCCAUUGACAAAUAGCUGUCGUCUCUUACUGUUGCUUUGCCAUGGUUUUUGAUUUCUUCAAUUACAUCAACUGAAUCUCUGAAAAAGGCAGUAUUGAAAGAGUUCCAGUGUUUCUUAUUCUUUAGAUGGUUUGAAUUGAAAUCCUGGCUGAUAACAUGCAGGUGAAGCUGUCGCAUGGAAGGAACCUGCAAGGAAAGAAUCCAAAACGCCUAUUAGGAAAUCCCCUUUGCACUUUUUUCUAUUUCCUUCUGUAGUCAGAGCACAAUUUGGGCAGAAAAAUAAGCAAAAAAGGGUAACUAUAAACAAAACAUUACAUGAGUUAAAAGGCUGUGGGUAUUGUUAUUGAUCUUAAAUAAAGUAGAUAUAAAAUAUGCCAAGAUGCAGAAACACAAAUACAGGUAAACAAGCAAAUGCAACAAAACAGCCCCUUGGGUCCAUGAACAGAUACAUAUUACUUCACUUAAUUACUGAUGCAAAAAUAACUAAGUGAUCAUAAUUUUAAUGAUGACUACCAGGUGUAGCGAUGUUUUAUAUUGCUAAAAUCAUCUGUUUUCUCAAAGGUACAACCCAAGUUAUUGGUUCAUUAAUAAUUUAGCUCCUUUCAUUGGAAUUUCACAUUAGCAAACCUUCCCAAUUUAGUCCUCAUUAUUAUCCGCAGCUUUUGAAAUUAGGAUUCCCAUUUUUCAACCAUUUAUGUGUCCUGGACCUUAAGACAAAUAGUGCCAUCUCCAAGCUGAGAAAAUAACUUCCAACACCAACUCCCAAUCUGGCACUAGGGCUUGCACCUGAGUUAAUUAAGCUCAUCAAUUGUUCAAAAGUGGUUAUGAAAAAGGAAAUGAAUGAAAUUGGCAAACAGCUGAGCGUAAGCAUUGCAUACUGAGUGAUAUCCAAGGCGAAAGAUCAUUGAUGAAUCCUCAUGCAAGAAUUUUUCAGCCCAUCUCAAGCCCACAUCAUGCAUUGUUGUUAACAAUUGAAGGUGUUCUUGUUGUACGUCAGCAAGGCAAUCAAGACCUUCACAUCUUGCCAAGAUGAGGAGAUGCUUUUGUGCCUUAGGGUAGAGAUCAUUUAGUACAGCAACAUCAUCUGAUAUCUCCAGCAACACAUUUUUAUGCUUCUCAGGAUGCAUAGCAAUAUGGCAAAGAGCUUGAGCCCAUGAGGCCCAGCUCUUCGAAGUGCUUCCAUCAAUCUUACUGUUGUCAUUACUUAUCUUUCCUUGUGUAGAGCCAGAACCAGUACCAUCAGUUCCAAUUUCAUAAUGAGAUCCCUUGCAUUUUUUGCUUCUCUCAGAUACAGAAUUACCAUCUCUCUUAGUCUUUUGAUCACCAUUUGCCAAAUAAUUUCUAAGGUCACCGCAAGAGGUAUCUUUCAAUGAUUUCUCUGAUACAAGGCUUUUACUCGUUAACUUUGCUUGGUUCCUCAGUACAGAGAGAAAACCAUCAAAAAGUGAUGUGUAUGCAUCACGAAGAAUUUUGCAGCCUUUAAUAUAGUCAUCUUUAAGGCAAUUAGGUCUUUGUGGGUUCAUAUUUGGGCCAAGGACAUGUAUGAUGUGAGAUACCCCUUCCCUGAUAUACAAGGGAGAAUUUGAAGGAAGGGGAACAACAACAGCAUGUCCAGGGAGAAGAGAAGCUGCUCGUUCCUUAGUUGCAACCUCUAGGGCUGGACCUGCAGCACUGAAAAUUGCAGCAUUCACACCUCCACCUCCUGGUUUCAGUCGCCAAUUGGCAGCAUUAGCUAUCACAUUGCAGCGCAAGCCUCCUUGUGAAUAUAGUUGAGUUAUAUCUCCAACAAAUGUGAAGAAUUUUUUGCUGUCAAUGUUCCUUUGUGCAGCUUUAACCCUAACCAAAGACAAAAUCUUUGAUCCAUGACUCAAGUCCACAAGAACCAGCCUCGCAUUUCCAAGCUUCUUCACAAACUCUUCAACUUUUUCAACCAUGAUAUCAGAUGCCUUCUCACUGUUGAACUGGAAGUCUGCUGUUGAAAUAGAUGGAAAUGCAAGAGUGGGAAUGCUGUCAGGAGUAACAUCACAGCCAAUGGAGUGUUUAGGCAGGUCUUCACGUUCUUUUACCUCCUUACAAGCAGUAGCCGAUAAUGAUGACAAAUUAUCUGGCCCUUUGCAAGAAUUAUUCCUUUCCUUGCUAACUUGAGGAAAUGCAGAAUCCUGAACACUACCUGAACUGGGUCCUGCAUUGGAAGGAACAUCUACUUUCUUUAAGAACUUCAUGAUACCAAGUUGAACUUUGGCAUCAGGGUUCUUCUGACCAAAAGAACCAUUUGGAAGGGUAUCCAAAGGACCAAGUGCACAAUAAGUAUUAAUUGCUGCUUGAACAUCACUCUCACUCUGGCAAAACAUGAUUCGAGACAAACCUUCAGAAAGCUUAGGCAAUUCUUUCUUUUGCAGCAUUCUAUUGACAACAGCAGCAGCUUUUCCACCUUGCAAAUUUCCUUCAUGCCCAGUGCGCUUCACAGAACGAGAUAUACAAAGCUGAGCAGGAAGAUCAAGCACCACAGCAUGAACGUCUAUCUGGGAACCACCAAGCUUCACAAACUCUACACGCUGUUCUCUGUCCAGAUUGCAUCUGUCAAUAAAUACACUUUUACCUUCCUUCAAUGCACUUGCUGCGGCCUUAAGGCACUGGGGCUUCGUUCCAGCUUUUCCAUUAUUAAUAGUGUCCUGACAGAUGCGAACCCAAGGUCGAGAAGAAGAACACAUGACGUGUUCGCAGAAAGUGGACUUGCCACUGCCCGGUGCACCCACCAAGAUCACCACGAUUGGCUUUCUCUCCUCCUCUCCACUUUUCUCUGUAAGAAAAUCCAUAAUAUCUAUAAGAAGGCAAAUUCAAAAACCUAAAGAAAAAGAUUGAAUUCCACACAGGUGCAUUCCUUCAGGUUUUGAAGUAUCGUCGCAAUCCAUGUCCAUUAUUGAUCCAGUGUUUGGGGAGCUCUUACGGGAGGCAGGAGAUGGACGCAGCCCUAUCGAACUCGUUGUUUGGUUUGUGUAACUGUAGACCGUAGAGGUGAC
rnacentral:misc_RNA from 1 species